UACGGAGGGUGCGAGCGUUGUUCGGAAUCACUGGGCGUAAAGCGCGUGUAGGCGGCUUCUUAAGUCCGAUGUGAAAGCCCGGGGCUCACCCCCGGAAGUGCAUUGGAUACUGGGAAGCUGGAGUACCGGAGAGGAGGGUGGAAUUCCUGGUGUAGCGGUGAAAUGCGUAGAUAUCAGGAGGAACACCUGUGGCGAAGGCGGGUCUCUGGGCCGAUACUGACGCUGAGGAGCGAAAGCGUGGGGAGCAAACAGG
rnacentral:rRNA from 1 species